rnacentral:rRNA from 1 species
CAAGUCGAGUGCGCGGUUGUAGCAAUACAACUGGCGCACGGCGCACGGGUGCGUAACACGUGGGUAACCUGCCCUUUGGUGGGGAAUAACUCCGCGAAAGCGGAGCUAAUUCCGCAUAAGAUCCGCAAGGAUGAAAGCAGCAAUGCGCCGAAGGAGGGGCCCGCGCCCGAUUAGCUAGUUGGUGAGGUAAUGGCUCACCAAGGCUUUGAUCGGUAGCUGGUCUGAGAGGAUGAUCAGCCACACUGGAACUGAGACACGGUCCAGACUCCUACGGGAGGCAGCAGUGGGGAAUCUUGCACAAUGGGCGAAAGCCUGAUGCAGCGACGCCGCGUGGGGGAUGAAGCAUUUCGGUGUGUAAACCCCUUUCGAUCCGGACGAAACCCCGCAAGGGAUUGACGGUACGGAUAUAAGAAGCCCCGGCUAACUACGUGCCAGCAGCCGCGGUAAGACGUAGGGGGCCAGCGUUGUUCGGAAUUACUGGGUGUAAAGGGUUCGUAGGCGGUGCGGCAAGUUGGGAGUGAAAUCUCUGGGCUUAACCCAGAGGCUGCUUCCAAAACUGCUGUGCUUGAGUGUGGGAGAGGCGCGUGGAAUUGCAGGUGUAGCGGUGAAAUGCGUAGAUAUCUGCAGGAACACCCGUGGCGAAAGCGGCGCGCUGGACCACUACUGACGCUGAGGAACGAAAGCUAGGGGAGCAAACAGGAUUAGAUACCCUGGUAGUCCUAGCCCUAAACGAUCAGGACUUGGGGUGCCACCCGUUCGGGUGUCGUCCCGGAGCUAACGCGUUAAGUCCUGCACCUGGGGAGUACGGUCGCAAGACUGAAACUCAAAGGAAUUGACGGGGGCCCGCACAAGCGGUGGAACAUGUGGUUCAAUUC